rnacentral:rRNA from 1 species
GACGAACGCUGGCGGCGUGCUUAACACAUGCAAGUCGAACGAUAAAACCGGAGUUUGCUCCUCUGGAUGAGUGGCGAACGGGUGAGUAACACGUGAGCAACCUGCCCUUGACUCCGGAAUAACUUCGGGAAACUGGAGCUAAUACCGGAUAUGCGCCGAACAGGCAUGGGUAGCGGUGGGAAAUAACUGCGGUCAGGGAUGAGCUCGCGGCCUAUCAGCUUGUUGGUGAGGUAACGGCUGACCAAGGCGUCGACGGGUAGCCGGCCUGAGAGGGUGACCGGCCACAUUGGGACUGAGACACGGCCCAGACUCCUACGGGAGGCAGCAGUGGGGAAUAUUGCACAAUGGGCGCAAGCCUGAUGCAGCAACGCCGCGUGCGGGAUGACGGCCUUCGGGUUGUAAACCUCUUUUGGCAGGGAAGAAGCGAAAGUGACGGUACCUGCAGAAAAAGCACCGGCUAACUACGUG